rnacentral:rRNA from 1 species
GACGUAGGGCGCGAGCGUUGUCCGGAUUUAUUGGGCGUAAAGAGCUCGUAGGCGGCUUGUCGACGUCGUCCGUCGAAAACCAGGGGCUCAACCCUGGCUUGCGGUCGAUACGGGCAGGCUAGAGUUCGGUAGGGGGAGACUGGAAUUCCUGGUGUAGCGGUGAAAAUGCGCAGAUAUCAGGAGGAACACCGGUGGCGAAGGCGGGUCUCUGGGCCGGAUACUGACGCUGAGGAGCGAAAGCGUGGGGAUCAAACAGG